rnacentral:rRNA from 1 species
CUAUCUUCUCAUCGGGAUUGAUCGGUGCAGCGUGUACAUGUUCAACACAUGGCCAUACCUAUAUAGUGGUUCAAGUCUUAUUGACUUAAGCAUCUGAUAUGUGCUCUCGUAGUAUAUAUCAGCCCAAGAGGGUGCAAGCCCCGUAGGGCCAAUAGCAAUAGGUGCGGUCAGUUGUUCAUACAAGAGUCGAGUUGCUUGAAAGUGCAACUUCAAUAUGCGAGGUAGACCACUCGUAAGGCUAAAUAAUAGACUACGAUACCGAUAGCGAACAAGUACCGUGAGGGAAAGUUGAAAAGUACUUUGAAGAGAGAGUUAAAUAGGGCGUGAAACCGUUAGCUGGAAAACGUACAGAGCCACGAAGUUAUUGGUUAUAGAUUUCAGCUUGUGUCUUGAAUAAGGCACGGGUGUAUUAUCUAUAUCUAUAACACUGCUAACAAUUAGACAAGUAAACGUACGGCAUGCAAUAAUGAAUUCUAAACAAGUUAUUAUGCAGGCAUACGUUAUCUACACUGAUUGUUCGAAUUAAUAUCAUCCUAGUUUGAUGGUGUUGUGAAGGAAGAUGGCUCACGCUAGUCGUGUAGCCCUAUGCCGUAUUAUAGACUGUAUAAUAAUGCUAGUUAAUGUAAAAAGUUGGCUUGUAUGAUUUGCGGAUUAUAAUGCCAGGUAUAACAGGCUAUGCGAAGAGUUGCUAUCUACACAGCAGUGAGUAKGUCGGCUUUCUGUACGACCC